GACGAACGCUGGCGGCGUGCUUAACACAUGCAAGUCGAACGGAAAGGCCCUGCUUUUGUGGGGUGCUCGAGUGGCGAACGGGUGAGUAACACGUGAGUAACCUGCCCUUGACUUUGGGAUAACUUCAGGAAACUGGGGCUAAUACCGGAUAGGAGCUCCUGCUGCAUGGUGGGGGUUGGAAAGUUUCGGCGGUUGGGGAUGGACUCGCGGCUUAUCAGCUUGUUGGUGGGGUAGUGGCUUACCAAGGCUUUGACGGGUAGCCGGCCUGAGAGGGUGACCGGCCACAUUGGGCCUGAGAUACGGCGCAGACUGCUACGGGAGGCAGCAGUGGGGAAUAUUGCACAAUGGGCGGAAGCCUGAUGCAGCGACGCCGCGUGCGGGAUGACGGCCUUCGGGUUGUAAACCGCUUUCGCCUGUGACGAAGCGUGAGUGACGGUAAUGGGUAAAGAAGCACCGGCUAACUACGUG
rnacentral:rRNA from 1 species